AUCGGACAUUAUCUUGUCCUUACUGCCUGCUUGACACCAAGAACUCAAGGCAAGUACAGCACUUUUAUUUGUGUAAAGAGGUAGACUAAGAUAAAAACUUAGUAAAAUUAAAGCAGUUGUUGAUUUCUUUUUUCAAUCAGAAAAUGGUGAUCCGUAAACUGUUGGUGGUCUUUGCUCUGGUGACUCUAAUCAAUGCAGCACCGACACAAAACAGUGCUACACAAAAUGAAGAUCACUCCAGUCAGCAUGAUGAAGUCACUCAAGAAUUUUGGAAGCGUGUCUUUAAGAUUGCUGACCAUGUGUUAGGACAGCUUAGAAAUUCAGAAAAUGAUGAAGCAGCUCAAGAGUUUUCGAAAAGUAUUCAAGACAUUAGUAAAUAUGUAUUAGAACAUGACGAAAACAUCUUGGGACACCUGGCCAAUUCAGAGAAAGAUGAAGCCACUCAAGAGUUCUGGAAACAUCUAUUCAAGAUUGGCAGUCACAUCUUGGGACACCUGGUCAAUUCAGAGAAAGAUGAAGCCACUCAAGAGUUCUGGAAACAUCUAUUAAAAAUUGGUGGACACAUCUUGGGACACCUGCUCAAUUCAGAGAAAGAUGAGGCCACUCAAGAGUUCUGGAAACAUCUAUUAAAGAUUGGCAGUCACAUCUUGGGACACCUGGCCAAUUCAGAGAAAGAUGAAGCCACUCAAGAGUUCUGGAAACAUCUAUUCAAGAUUGGCAGUCACAUCUUGGGACACCUGGUCAAUUCAGAGAAAGAUGAAGCCACUCAAGAGUUCUGGAAACAUCUAUUAAAAAUUGGUGGACACAUCUUGGGACACCUGCUCAAUUCAGAGAAAGAUGAGGCCACUCAAGAGUUCUGGAAACAUCUAUUAAAGAUUGGCGGACACAUCUUGGGACACCUGCUCAAUUCAGAAAAAGAUGAGGCCACUCAAGAAUUCUGGAAACAUCUAUUCAAGAUUGGCAGUCACAUCUUGGGACACCUGGUCAAUUCAGAGAAAGAUGAAGCCACUCAAGAGUUCUGGAAACAUCUAUUCAAGAUUGGCAGUCACAUCUUGGGACACCUGGUCAAUUCAGAGAAAGAUGAAGCCACUCAAGAGUUCUGGAAACAUCUAUUAAAAAUUGGUGGACACAUCUUGGGACACCUGGUCAAUUCAGAGAAAGAUGAAGCCACUCAAGAGUUCUGGAAACAUCUAUUCAAGAUUGGCAGUCACAUCUUGGGACACCUGGUCAAUUCAGAGAAAGAUGAAGCCACUCAAGAGUUCUGGAAACAUCUAUUCAAGAUUGGCAGUCACAUCUUGGGACACCUGGUCAAUUCAGAGAAAGAUGAAGCCACUCAAGAGUUCUGGAAACAUCUAUUAAAAAUUGGUGGACACAUCUUGGGACACCUGGUCAAUUCAGAGAAAGAUGAAGCCACUCAAGAGUUCUGGAAACAUCUAUUUAAGAUUGGCAGUCACAUCUUGGGACACCUGGUCAAUUCAGAGAAAGAUGAAGCCACUCAAGAGUUCUGGAAACAUCUAUUAAAAAUUGGCAGUCACAUCUUGGGACACCUGGUCAAUUCAGAGAAAGAUGAAGCCACUCAAGAGUUCUGGAAACAUCUAUUCAAGAUUGGCAGUCACAUCUUGGGACACCUGGUCAAUUCAGAGAAAGAUGAAGCCACUCAAGAGUUCUGGAAACAUCUAUUCAAGAUUGGCAGUCACAUCUUGGGACACCUGGUCAAUUCAGAGAAAGAUGAAGCCACUCAAGAGUUUUGGAAACAUCUAUUCAAGAUUGGCAGUCACAUCUUGGGACACCUGGUCAAUUCAGAGAAAGAUGAAGCCACUCAAGAGUUCUGGAAACAUCUAUUCAAGAUUGGCAGUCACAUCUUGGGACACCUGGUCAAUUCAGAGAAAGAUGAAGCCACUCAAGAGUUUUGGAAACAUCUAUUCAAGAUUGGCAGUCACAUCUUGGGACACCUGGUCAAUUCAGAGAAAGAUGAAGCCACUCAAGAGUUCUGGAAACAUCUAUUAAAGAUUGGCAGUCACAUCUUGGGACACCUGGUCAAUUCAGAGAAAGAUGAAGCCACUCAAGAGUUUUGGAAACAUCUAUUCAAGAUUGGCAGUCACAUCUUGGGACACCUGGUCAAUUCAGAGAAAGAUGAAGCCACUCAAGAGUUCUGGAAACAUCUAUUCAAGAUUGGCAGUCACAUCUUGGGACACCUGGUCAAUUCAGAGAAAGAUGAAGCCACUCAAGAGUUUUGGAAACAUCUAUUCAAGAUUGGCAGUCACAUCUUGGGACACCUGGUAAAUUCAGAGAAAGAUGAAGCCACUCAAGAGUUCUGGAAACAUCUAUUCAAGAUUGGCAGUCACAUCUUGGGACACCUGGUCAAUUCAGAGAAAGAUGAAGCCACUCAAGAGUUUUGGAAACAUCUAUUCAAGAUUGGCAGUCACAUCUUGGGACACCUGGUCAAUUCAGAGAAAGAUGAAGCCACUCAAGAGUUUUGGAAACAUCUAUUCAAGAUUGGCAGUCACAUCUUGGGACACCUGGUAAAUUCAGAGAAAGAUGAGGCCACUCAAGAGUUCUGGAAACAUCUAUUAAAGAUUGGCGGACACAUCUUGGGACACCUGGUCAAUUCAGAGAAAGAUGAAGCCACUCAAAAUAAUGGAAUGCAUCACUACAUUCUUCAUAAAGAUUAAUACAAGGAACAGUACACAAGUGCAUAUUUUUUUGCAGCAUCAUAGAGAUAAUCAUGACCAUCUUGGCUGUCAAGAAAAUCAUCAGCUUGCUCCUUAAUCCAAUGGUAAUAAGAUUGUUAAUUCUGAAAUGAAAAUAAAAAACAAAAUAAAAAUGCUUAUCA
ensembl:lncRNA uncharacterized LOC114480875